rnacentral:rRNA from 1 species
UAAAAUUUAUAAUAUUUCAUUUUUUGGUUUUUUGUUUUAAAUUAAAAUAAUAAAUAUGGGGGAAAAAAAAAUUUUGUUAUAAAUUAUAUUAGUUUAUUUUAAUUAAAAAUAUUUUUUAUUAAAUUUGUUUUUUUUAUUUUUUUAUAAAAAAUAUUAAUUUAAUUAUUAUUAUUGAGUUUAAUUUAGUUAUUUUUAAAAAAAUUUUGUAUAAAAUAAAUUUGAUAAUAAAUGUUUUUUAAAUUCUUUGGGGGUUUAGUUUAUGAUUUUUUGUUUCUGCUCAUUGUUAAAUAAAAGCACUUUUAGCGUGAUUGGUCAAAGGUA